CACACUGGGACUGAGACACGGCCCAGACUCCUACGGGAGGCAGCAGUGGGGAAUUUUCUGCAAUGGGCGAAAGCCUGACAGAGCAAUACCGCGUGGAGGAAGAAAGCCUUAGGGUUGUAAACUCCUUUUGUUAGGGAAGAAAUUUUGACGGUACCUAAAGAAUAAGCAUCGGCUAACUCCGUGCCAGCCGCCGCCGUAACAC
rnacentral:rRNA from 1 species